rnacentral:lncRNA from 1 species
AUCAAAUGAUAAAGUCAUACCAAAUAGGACUACGAUAAUCUGUGCCUAGAACUAGAAAAUUCAAAGUUUUUAAAACAGUGUUUAUAAAAAAAAUAUCAUUGAUAUUUCUUGCCAAUAAAGAAAUAACCAACAUUGUGCAACAAUAUGCCAACGUGUUAGGUACUUAUCUCCCCCUUUAUACCACAUAAUUGAAAAUUUAUGUUUUAUAUUAUUCCAACGUUCUAACAAAAAACAAAUGUGCACUUCAUUCUCUUUAUCUAACAUUUUCAAAUCUGUGUAGUCAUUUAAAUGUAUUUACCUAAAUGAUUAAAUAUUUUUAUGCACAAAUAAAAAAUAGUUAAAACCAGCC